rnacentral:rRNA from 1 species
CUCUCGCGUCAGGAUAUGCCCAGGUGGGAUUAGCUAGUUGGUGAGGUAAGGGCUCACCAAGGCGACGAUCCCUAGCUGGUCUGAGAGGAUGAUCAGCCACACUGGAACUGAGACACGGUCCAGACUCCUACGGGAGGCAGCAGUGGGGAAUAUUGCACAAUGGGCGCAAGCCUGAUGCAGCCAUGCCGCGUGUGUGAAGAAGGCCUUCGGGUUGUAAAGCACUUUCAGUCGUGAGGAAGGUGGUAGUGUUAAUAGCACUAUCAUUUGACGUUAGCGACAGAAGAAGCACCGGCUAACUCCGUGCCAGCAGCCGCGGUAAUACGGAGGGUGCGAGCGUUAAUCGGAAUUACUGGGCGUAAAGCGCAUGCAGGUGGUUUGUUAAGUCAGAUGUGAAAGCCCGGGGCUCAACCUCGGAACUGCAUUUGAAACUGGCAGACUAGAGUACUGUAGAGGGGGGUAGAAUUUCAGGUGUAGCGGUGAAAUGCGUAGAGAUCUGAAGGAAUACCGGUGGCGAAGGCGGCCCCCUGGACAGAUACUGACACUCAGAUGCGAAAGCGUGGGGAGCAAACAGGAUUAGAUACCCUGGUAGUCCACGCUGUAAACGAUGUCUACUUGGAGGUUGUGGCCUUGAGCCGUGGCUUUCGGAGCUAACGCGUUAAGUAGACCGCCUGGGGAGUACGGUCGCAAGAUUAAAACUCAAAUGAAUUGACGGGGGCCCGCACAAGCGGUGGAGCAUGUGGUUUAAUUCGAUGCAACGCGAAGAACCUUACCUACUCUUGACAUCCAGAGAAUCUAGCGGAGACGCUGGAGUGCCUUCGGGAACUCUGAGACAGGUGCUGCAUGGCUGUCGUCAGCUCGUGUUGUGAAAUGUUGGGUUAAGUCCCGCAACGAGCGCAACCCUUAUCCUUGUUUGCCAGCGAGUAAUGUCGGGAACUCCAGGGAGACUGCCGGUGAUAAACCGGAGGAAGGUGGGGACGACGUCAAGUCAUCAUGGCCCUUACGAGUAGGGCUACACACGUGCUACAAUGGCGCAUACAGAGGGCGGCCAACUUGCGAAAGUGAGCGAAUCCCAAAAAGUGCGUCGUAGUCCGGAUUGGAGUCUGCAACUCGACUCCAUGAAGUCGGAAUCGCUAGUAAUCGUGGAUCAGAAUGCCACGGUGAAUACGUUCCCGGGCCUUGUACACACCGCCCGUCACACCAUGGGAGUGGGCUGCAAAAGAAGUGGGUAGUUUAACCUUCGGGAGGACGCUCACCACUUUGUGGUUCAUGACUGGGGUGAAGUCGUAACAAGGUAGCGCUAGGGGAACCUGGCGCUGGAUCACCUCCUUA